rnacentral:sRNA from 12 species
CCUGUGGAGAGUACUAGAACUUGUGAGUAGUAUCUAGUUUUAUCUAGUACGAAAGCAUACUCGACGAAGUAGGAA